UGGGGAAUAUUGCACAAUGGGCGCAAGCCUGAUGCAGCCAUGCCGCGUGUAUGAAGAAGGCCUUCGGGUUGUAAAGUACUUUCAGCGGGGAGGAAGGGAGUAAAGUUAAUACCUUUGCUCAUUGACGUUACCCGCAGAAGAAGCACCGGCUAACUCCGCGCCAGCAGCCGCGGUAAUACGGAGGGUGCAAGCGUUAAUCGGAAUUACUGGGCGUAAAGCGCACGCAGGCGGUUUGUUAAGUCAGAUGUGAAAUCCCCGGGCUCAACCUGGGAACUGCAUCUGAUACUGGCAAGCUAGAGUCUUGUAGAGGGGGGUAGAAUUCCAUGUGUAGCGGUGAAAUGCGUAGAGAUGUGGAGGAAUACCGGUGGCGAAGGCGGCCCCCUGGACAAAGACUGACGCUCAGGUGCGAAAGCGUGGGGAGCAAACAGG
rnacentral:rRNA from 1 species